UGUAGCGCCCACAUGAGUUGGCCUAGUGUUAGCAACUGUGUUUCGCCUCGCGAGUGCAGCUCGAGCCUUGGUGGGGUUUCUAAAACACCUUUACCGCAAACUAUCACCAGAGGGUAGCCCAUUCUGCGAACAAAAUAACUGGUGACUCCGGACUAGCCCUUCACUAUACCAACUCGGCUGCCGAGACUUAUACUUCUACAACCAAUAUUUUCACCUUUUUCAUACACACUUUUAAGCAGUAUUUUAUUUUACUAUAUUUUGGUUCAAAUUGGAUUAAUUUUGGACACCUGUCUGUUUUAUUAAGGGUUCAACUUCCAGAAAUAUAUUCGCGAUAUUUUUAAUAAAUAAAAAUCAAAAAAAGUUAAUCGAAGGAUAUACAUACAAUUGUCUAAUAAUAUUUUCCAUAAUGUAAAUAUCCAGUGAGGAAAGUUAUUAUUAUUUUUUUCAUAUAGUUGUUCGUUAUUUUCAGGGCUUGAUGUGAUAUGUCAAACAACUACCUCAUUCUCCUACUCAUUGGUACACUUCAGUAGUUUGUUCCAAUGUGUGUGCCCCGUAAAGUAAGAUGUUACCUCUAUGUACAUCCAGUCGCAAUGUGUCAAACAGUCUUCCAUACUGGUCUCCUACUCGUUGGUACACUUCAGUAGCUUGGUCCAGUGUGUGUGCGCCGUAUGCGUCUAGCAUGCGGAAGGAACGGGCUCGUAGCACACCGUGCUUGGGGCGGAGCUCGUCGCGGUAUUUGUCGCUGAUCUGAAAAUAUGAUCCUUACUGUCAUCAUCAUUAUCACGCUAUCUUAGCUCUUAACUUGUACUAUACCCCUUUAUUUUUAGAUUAAAAAUUUCAUAACCUCAAAAGU